CAAAGCAACAUGUGAAUGCAGCCUGAGCUUCAGGAGAUGGCGCUCUAUAGGUAUUUUGGGCACAUAUCUUUCUCAGCGGAGCUACCAUGCUCAGGACAUACAUGGUACAUAGGACAGAAACUGUUUUUGCUCUCCUUGUGGAAAGAUGUUGAGUCAUCAUGAGAUCUAUUGUAGGAGUGCCAGAGCCAGAGAUACCAAUUCUGCAGGAAGAGCAGUGAAGCUGAGACUUAAAGACCAAGCCCUGAAGAGCACCUUGUUUGUUUAUGUUCAUUGCGCUCAUUCUCCUUCAAGGCUAUAGAAAACUUAUUUCUGGAAUUCAGCCAAUGGUAUGAUACAUGUUACAGAUCCCAUUCUUAGCUGCAAAGCUUCUGCUGCAUGUGGCUUAAGGAGACACUGCCCUUGGCAUGGUGAUGAACGUCUUGGUGAACCCCUGUGAUCAGAAGCUGCCUAUAGCAAAACUCUGCAGGGGUUCUUGCCAGAAUAGCCUCAGCUUGCACCCACAGUGUUCACCAGUUUCACCCCACUCAGCUUCAGAAAAGCACCAUCUGUGCAAGGGAGCAGUAGAGAUAAUUUUAGUUCUUGUCACAGUUUCUUGCCUGAUUCCCAUGAGACUUUUGACCUAUUAGAAAAUGGAUCGCAUCUAAGAGUAGCAUGUAACUAGAACUCCACCAAAAAAUAAAGAGUAAGAUUGCUUUUAAAAUACCUGUUUUAAUAUCCAUUUUUUUCUGCUGUGUUUUGGAAAGAUGUCAAUGUUCUGCGUUGUAGAGAGAACUUGGGAGACAAUGCAAGGCUCAGGAGUAACUGCUUCUUCCUUCAGGGGACCAGUGGGAUGUGUGGCUCUCACCUUUGGAUGCACAGGGCAUUUCCAUCUCAGUACAACACCUGCAGACCUUCCUUAGGUAUUGGCACCCUGGAGCUUCUUUGGCUCAGUCCAUAGCAUUAAGAGAUGGGGAUGUGUCAGCCUUGCACCUGCAGUGGACAAGCUGGGAUUUGUUUUGCAGUGUUGUUUCCCUGGUUAGGCUGUUUGGAGGCUGCAGUCCUAAGUACUGACAAAGAACAUGUGAAACCUGCAGGAACUUCAGAGGGGUUCAAAGCCCCAAGCAUAGAAUAGAAUCAUAUAAUCAAUAAGGUUGUAAUGGACCUCUAAUAUCAUCUAGUCCAACUGCUGACUCAUCACCACCAUACCCACUAACCAUGUUCCUCAGUACCACACUUAUCCUUUUCUUGAACAUCUCCAAGGACAGUGACUCCACCACCUCCCUGGGCAGCCCAUUCCAAUGCUCCAGUCUUACAGAAUCAUCGAAUCAAGUAGAGGAGGUGGAGGGGUGGAUGACUGCCUGUAAAAGCUCACUGCCAAAAGGAAUGGGAUUAAGCUCAUGUGGGACACAACAAGAUGGGUUGUCACUUCAACAGCAAUGACUCAGGCUAUUUAAUAGAAUGGGUAACUACCCAUGCGAUAAAUUGCCCCAUAAACUUUUUUCAGCCCAACAGACAGUUUAGACGAAAGCCAGAUGAACCAAGAACACACCAGGUACAGGUGAUCCUGAUUGGGAUGGAGAAAGAGACUGCAGAAACCCUUCCCAGCCCUCCCAAUGGGAAUUUAGCACUGAACAUAACCCCAUUGCAUCUGAGCCUGCAACCCAUCUUCAGGAUCAGUGGAAACAUUCAUCAAUUCUAUCACCAUCAAACUUCCACAUGAAGGAUAUGCUUUCUACCAAGCUGUCAGAAAGGGACACAGCCUCCACCUUGUGAAAUAGCCAUGAAGGUGAAUAUACAUCUAUGCUGCAUAUAUUUCACAGUUUGGUUGUAAGCUGGCCUUCCAGUUUAAAACUCCUAAGCUGUUCACAAAGGAAACCUUUUAAGGUAUGAAUCAAGGGAAAACAACAACAAAAACACAAAAAAGAUCUACCUUGCACAUAUGCACUGCUUUUUGAGAUUUUACACAUAUAUUUAUUUAAGGUGUAAGUUGUAUUAUAAUUUCACAUUGUGACGUGAGGAACAAAAUAGGGAAAAAAAUUUCCAAAGGUUAAAUUUGAGUAAAGGCCUGGGAAAGCACUGUCAUUUUGUGAAUUCCUCCUGUGACAUGCUCAGAGCAGGAUUCUCACUGGCUGUGAGGAACACAAGCUGCUCUUUAUAUACGCACUAGAGGAAGCUGAUGCCUGACCUCUGCUCAGACCUACUGCACUAUUUGCCUUAUUUUGGAAUUUCAGAUCAGCCAAAUGUAAUUUGUUGAACAACCUUUCCGUGUCAGCUCUCACACCUGGGGACCUGAGUGGUGUUUCUCAGGAUGGAAAAGAAUGGAGAGAUUAUUUUGAGGAGAAACUAGCUGUUCUGAGGACAAACAUCCACCCAGAUUAAGUUAGCUGUUAACCUUGAAAUAGAAUUGCACAAUUCUGAGCCAAAAUGCAGUCCUGGAGUCACUAAUGAUGACAUUCAUUUUCCGCAAAGCCCUUCAUCAUGCUGCAGAGCCUUUUCUCAGAAUGAACAUUGAGCUGCAGGGAGUUCUGGCAGUAGCACCACAAAGAGGUGUUUGGGGAGGAAAUCUGAGCUCCUGGCUCUGCACACCCCCGGGAGCACAUGAGGACAUGUUGUAAUUAACCACAGCAUGAAGCAGAAACCCAGCUGCCCAGAGCCAAACCUUCAGGGUCCUUCUUACCAUAGGAGCCCUGUGCAGGUCCAAAGGUAACUCUUCCAAACACUCAGAGCCCUUCUAUGACCCAAAUUUAUAUCACUGUAUUUCUAAACAAUACAAAAUGAAAAGAACUUGGGGAUGACCAGAUGGACAUGAGCCAGCAGUGUGCCAUUGUAGCCCAGUAAGCCAACUGUAUCCUGAACUGCAUCAAAAGAAGUAUGGCCACCAGGGGGAGGGAGGUGAUCCUGCCUCUCUACUGAAGCCUCUACUGAAGCUGGUGAAGCCUCACCUGGAGUACUGCAUCUAGAUGUGCAGUCCUCAGUACAGAAAUCCUCAUGAGAGAGAUGGACCUGUUGGAGCAUGUCCAGAGGUGGGCCACAAAAAUGGCCCAAGGGAUGAAAAGAGAUCUGAAUCCAAGAGAUCUGAGAGUGGCUUUUCUGUAUCAAAAAGGGGCUAUAAGGAAGGGGACAGACUCUUUAAACAGGGACUGCUGUGACAGGACAAGGAGAAAUGGUUUCAAACUAAAAGAAGGGAGAUUUAGAUUGGAUAUAAGGAAGAAGAUUUUUACAAUACUAGUGGUGAGGCACUAGGGCAGAUUGCCCAGAAAGGUGGUGGAUGCCCGGUCCCUGAAGACAUUCAAGGUCAGGCUGGACAGGACUCUGAGCAAAUCUGAUCUAGUUGUAGGUAUCCCUGUUCUUUGCAGGGGAGUUGAGCUAGAUGACCUUUGAGGGUUCCUUCCAACUGAAAUUAUUCUAUGAUUCUAUGAAAUGAUAAACAUCUGAGGCCCACCACGCCAUGAGAAGGUACAUGCUCAGCUACAUUGUUUGAUGACAAAAUGUUUCACUUAAUGCCUUUUCACUAAAAUACUUGUAAAUGGAAACAUGUGACUUCUAUUUUUUGAGUUAAUAGGUGGAGUGAAAUGUUCCAUUAGCCAACUUUUGUACGAUUCUUUUCUCCGUAGAUGGUAACAUUAGGAUGCCUUUCUCUUUAGUUGAAGUUACACAAGAGAAAACAUCAUCAUUAAAAUUAAUACACAGAAAAACCAGUCCAUUUUGUGAUAAUAACCUCAAAAUGUGAUCCAAAUAACACUAAUCAAGCAGUGUUGAGUCUUUAUAAAAUUAUGUAUUCAGCCUGUAUUAUAUGCCUAAUAUUAGCCAAAAGAAAAAAGGGGAAAGGACAGCAUUUGUCUUAUUUCCAAGAAGACAAAUAAAAAAGAAUAAUGACAAUUAAACUGAUUUUCCACUCAUCAUUCCCUCAGCUCUCAUCAUGUGGUUGCAAACCCUUUUCUCCCUCCCCUUGUAACACACAGGGUUGCCAUCAGAAGGGCUAGACCAUCAGGUUUUCCAGCCAAAACAGGGCACUUGGGAGUAUGUAAAAUUGGAGGACAGUGCAAAAUUCAUGCAGCCUAGACCUCUUCCAAGAUCAGAAAGGCAACCUCAGCAACAGCUGUUGGCCAACUGUAAGCAGCACUGAUGGUACCAUCUGGGAGGUGGUAAACUGGCAGUGGUAGUGGGAUGGAGACCCACACUCAUUUCACAUGAAUGGUUAAAUGUUAGCAGUUGCUUACAACUGAUUUAGCCAUUACAACAUCACAGAACAGCUGAGGGUAGCAGUGCCCUGGCACGUCUGGCACAACCCCAGCCCCAGCAGGGCCAUCCAGAACAGAGUACUCUGGGCAGCCUCUGCCAGUCCUCCAGUUACUGAAUGAGUAGCUUAAGGUGAAAAGCUCUCAAGGGAGAAAAAUGCUUCCAGAAGCCAAAAUACUCCUGCAUUUUCCAUCCUGACUUUGCAAGACAUGGUCUUUUGGAAAAGCAGGUAAGCAUGUGACAGUGGCACUCAAAACUUUGGUAUCUGCUCACCGCUUGUCCUGUUUAGCCCGUGGAAACAUCAGGUUUGAGACCAUGUGCUCAGCUGUGCAGUUCCAGUCCUCUGCAGAUGUUCACAGCCCUCAAAGGAUACACACUAAUAAACCUUGGUGAGCAGUGCCAGAAACAGUGGCUUUCUUUGUGAUCACCCUUCCCCACAGAGAGGAUGCUUCUGCAUGCGUUCCAAGGGGAAGAGCACCCACUUACCAAAACUGCUCAGGCAAGAUUUAACAGGCCUUAUUUCCACUUGUAUUAAUGCAUCCAUCAGCAGAUCCUCUGCAUCAAAGCUUCCUUCAGCAUCUCAGGAUUUUUCUUCAUCCUCUGGAGGACCCUCAGCAGCUGCUUGUGUUUCUAGAGCCCCUGCAGAAUCACUUACUGUGGACUCCUGGGCUGUGUCUGCUGGACCAUGGUGUAGCUGCAUGCCUGUCCCUUUCACCCAGCAAUCAGGACCUGUUUGAGAUAGAGAAGUCCCCUGUGAUGAGACUUUUUGCAUGCAAGGCACACUGAAUCAACAAAGCGGUAGCUAAAUACUCUAAUAACUAUCAUUGCUAGGCCUCAAGUCACCACAGAACGUGAGCUAAUUUGCUGUAAUUCAUUUAAUAUGUUUAGUCCGAGCAACACAAUUUCAGCCUGAUAGAUGCCCGAGAAAUCCCUUACCAGCAUUAACUGGGAGCAGGAUGCAGCACCUUCCCAGGUGCCCCCAGCUGGGGUUGCAGUGCUUUAAGGGCCCUAGGCCCUUUCCCCGGCUGCUCUGAAAGUCAGUGGCAAACUUCAAGCAAACAGGGCAGAUCACUCAAGGUCCUGGAAGCCAUACUAAUGUCCAUAAGGACCACAAGUGCCCACAGGCACUCACCCUGCAGAUGAAUGCUCACCACUCAUCUCUCCCUCUACACAGCGGUGGAUGCUGCUUCAGAUGCUCUUGUCACUGCCUCUGGGCAGCUGGGAGGAUGUGAACACCAGGACUGGUGAAUUUCCUUCUGCAGAGACAGAUGAGUUAAAACAGAUACAAGAUACCAUAUCCCCAUCUAAUUUAUUUUGGAGUAUGUACAUUCCUGAACAAGGAUAUUAGAUGGCAAAAGCUAUGAGAGCUUAAUAGCUCACAGAUGAUGCACACACACUUUGUGGACCCCAGCAGACAUCUGUGGCCCAGUCCCCAGUUUAUGCCUCUCCCUCUUUCCUUUCCUCAAACACUGUUCCAAGUGUGUAAAAAUGCUAAAUUCUACAACAAGUCCCCUUUCCACGUGACCUUGGCAACUUUGCAAUGUGAAAUGAAACCCAUCUGAAGUAUCAGCAAAGCCUUUUUUUUUUUUUUUUUUAAAUUCUAAGACUCAGAUGACUGUUGACAGCAGAUGCUUGAUUUAAAAGGCACCAGUUGUCU
ensembl:lncRNA